AUCCAACUGACAAGUCCCAAAUAGGACGAAACACGCGCCCUGGAU
rnacentral:hammerhead_ribozyme from 1 species